rnacentral:rRNA from 1 species
CAGCAGCCGCGGGAAAACGUAGGGUGCAAGCGUUAAUCGGAAUUACUGGGCGUAAAGCGUGCGCAGGCGGUUAUAUAAGUCAGAUGUGAAAUCCCAGGGCUCAACCUGGGAACUGCAUUUGAGACUGUAUGGCUAGAGUGUGUCAGAGGGGGGUAGAAUUCCACGUGUAGCAGUGAAAUGCGUAGAUAUGUGGAGGAAUACCGAUGGCGAAAGCAGCCCCCUGGGAUAACACUGACGCUCAUGCACGAAAGCGUGGGGAGCAAACAGGAUUAGAUACCCCUGUAGUCCCUGUCUCUUAUAC